CCACAUAAAAUGGAGGAAGAUUGGCAACAGAUGUUAGCUGAGGGCCAAUCUUCCUCACAAAAAAAAAAAGAAAAGAAAAAGGAAAAUGGUAUAGGAUUUAUUGCUGAACACAGAGCCAUCCUGGAACCAUUCUAGAGUUCAGAAAAACUCUAAAUGUUUUCUACUGACCCCGGAUUAACAUCCCUUCCCUGCGUAGGAAGGGCAACAGCUCGGAUGACUGACAACAUGAGCCAAGCUGGGACCUGACCACACCAGAACAACAGGAGACAGCUAUAAAGAAGUGCACACCAAGGCAUUCAGAGCGUUACAUGUUUCACCAUCGUAACCAUGAAAAAUUACCAACAACCAGUAAUGGUGCUUCAAGGAACUAAAGUGGGAUUCAAAACUACACAGAAAAAUAAAAGGACAAAAAUGUUAUGUGCAUAGGGAAAACUGAAAGGAAAUACAACAAAAUGUCACUUAAAUGGUUGUGAGAAUGCUGAAUGCUUUUCUUUCUUUUUUCUUUUUUUUGGUGAGGAAGA